AUGUCUCAUAUACCUAUACUCUGUGGAUUGGUUCAUCGGUAUCGGAAGAAUUUAACAUUACCCUGACAUCGCCGAAAAAUUCCAAUUUCUUUGAUGCCAUGAAUCAGGCGGCUGAAAGAGAUCCUGUAUUUGAUUUUAAAUAUAAGAAUACAUCAUGGGGUCAUUAUAUCACUGAAAUUGCUGGAAAGUCGGAAAAUGUU